rnacentral:rRNA from 1 species
AUACGUAGGGGGCAAGCGUUAUCCGGAUUUACUGGGUGUAAAGGGAGCGCAGACGGCAGUGCAAGUCUGAUGUGAAAGCCCGGGGCUCAACCCCGGAACUGCAUUGGAAACUGUACAGCUUGAGUGUCGGAGAGGUAAGCGGAAUUCCUAGUGUAGCGGUGAAAUGCGUAGAUAUUAGGAGGAACACCGGUGGCGAAGGCGGCUUACUGGACGAUGACUGACGUUGAGGCUCGAAAGCGUGGGGAGCAAACAGGAUUAGAUACCCUGGUAGUCCACGCUGUAAACGAUGAAUACUAGGUGUGGGUGUGCACUGCACAUCCGUGCCGCAGCUAACGCAGUAAGUAUUCCACCUGGGGAGUACGUUCGCAAGAAUGAAACUCAAAUGAAUUGACGGGG